UACGAAGGGGGCUAGCGUUGUUCGGAUUUACUGGGCGUAAAGCGCACGUAGGCGGAUCGAUCAGUCAGGGGUGAAAUCCCAGAGCUCAACUCUGGAACUGCCUUUGAUACUGUCGAUCUGGAGUAUGGAGGAGGUGAGUGGAAUUCCGAGUGUAGAGGUGAAAUUCGUAGAUAUUCGGAGGAACACCAGUGGCGAAGGCGGCUCACUGGUCCAUUACUGACGCUGAGGUGCGAAAGCGUGGGGAGCAAACAGG
rnacentral:rRNA from 1 species